rnacentral:rRNA from 1 species
GAGCCGACCUGAGAGGGUGAUCGGCCACCCUGGAACUGAGACACGGUCCAGACUCCUACGGGAGGCAGCAGUAGGGAAUCUUCCGCAAUGGGCGAAAGCCUGACGGAGCAACGCCGCGUGAGUGAUGAAGGUUUUCGGAUSGUAAAACUCUGUUAUUAGGGAAGAACAAAUGCGUAAGUAACUGUGCGCAUCUUGACGGUACCUAAUCAGAAAGCCACGGCUAACUACGUGCCAGCAGCCGCGGUAAUACGUAGGUGGCAAGCGUUAUCCGGAAUUAUUGGGCGUAAAGCGCGCGUAGGCGGUUUCUUAAGUCUGAUGUGAAAGCCCACGGCUCAACCGUGGAGGGUCAUUGGAAACUGGGAAACUUGAGUGCAGAAGAGGAAAGUGGAAUUCCAUGGUAGCGGUGAAAUGCGCAGAGAUAUGGAGGAACACCAGUGGCGAAGGCGACUUUSUGGUCUGUAACUGACGCUGAUGUGCGAAAGCGUGGGGAUCAAACAGGAUUAGAUACCCUGGUAGUCCACGCCGUAAACGAUGA